rnacentral:rRNA from 1 species
GACAGAGGGGGCAAGCGUUGCUCGGAAUUACUGGGCGUAAAGGGCGCGUAGGCGGGAUGGCAAGUCGGUCGUGAAAUCCCUCGGCUCAACCGAGGAACGUCGAUCGAUACUGCUGUUCUUGAGGAUUGCAGAGGAGACUGGAAUUCCCGGUGUAGCGGUGAAAUGUGUAGAGAUCGGGAGGAACGACCGGUGGCGAAGGCGG